rnacentral:rRNA from 1 species
AUAUGGCUCAGGAUGAACGCUAGCUACAGGUUUAACACAUGCAAGUCGAGGGGCAGCAUGGUCUUAGCUUGCUAAGGCCGAUGGCGACCGGCGCACGGGUGAGUAACGCGUAUCCAACCUGCCUUACACUCUUGGACAGCCUUCUGAAAGGGAGAUUAAUACAAGAUGUUAUCAUGAGUAAGCAUUUUCGCAUGAUUAAAGGUUUACCGGUGUAAGAUGGGGAUGCGUCCCA